rnacentral:rRNA from 1 species
GACGAACGCUGGCGGCGUGCUUAACACAUGCAAGUCGAACGGAAAGGCCCUGCUUUUGUGGGGUGCUCGAGUGGCGAACGGGUGAGUAACACGUGAGUAACCUGCCCUUGACUUUGGGAUAACUUCAGGAAACUGGGGCUAAUACCGGAGAGGAGCUCUUGCUGCAUGGUGGGGGUUGGUAAGUUUCGGCGGUGGGGGAUGGACUCGCAGCUUAUCAGCUUGUUUGUGGGGUAGUGGCUUACCAAGGCUUUGACGGGUAGCCGGCCUGAGAGGGUGAACGGCCACCUUGGGACUGAGAUACGGCCCAGAAUGCUACGGGAGGCAGCAGUGGAGAAUAUUGCACAGUGGGCGGAAGCCUGAUGCGGCAACGUCGCGUGCGGAAUGCCGGCCUUCGGGUUGUAAACAGAUUUCGACUGUGCCGAAGCGUGAUUGACGGUAAUGGGUAAAGAAGCCCCGGCUAACUACGUG